UUUUCCGAAAAUACUUUUCCUCUUUAUGGAUGCAAAACUUUUAUAGUUAAAUAUUUGAUGAAGUUGUGUGGUUGUAAAUCAUUUUAUAACGAAAAUCAAAAUGAGAAUUUGUUGCAUUUGACAGCUUUUGCCAGGCAAAUAAUCUCCUGAAAUCGUUUCUGUGAGAAGUCAUAAAAUGACAGGUUUAUUUAGAAACUCAAGUUACACGCAAAGCAAUUCAACAGAUAAAUAAACGGAUAGAGAAAAAGAGGAAGACAGAGAGAGAGAUCAUCUUGAAAACUGUGCCAACUUGGUGAACUCAGAGCGGAUAGUUGUCGUUUUAAGCCUUAUGAGCACUUUGUCAGUGAGUGUUUUAUGGCUAUCCAUUAGCAUUGACCCGACCGCCAUGCGCCCUGUAGUUGGCGCUUAAGAAGAACCGGAGCUGAUUGACGAUUCGCAUUACCGGACCAUUGCCGCCUGGUCUGGGCGGCGUGGUAAGGUGUGGCAGCUCCGCCUGCAUGUAGAGCUCUCAUCCUGUGUCAGGUGUAUCCUCACCGCAGUUGUGCAGUUAAUCAUUGUGGACGAGAGCGAGAAUCUCCACCUCUUUCGGCUUGGUCACCACAAAUGUGAAUGCGAUACAAGAGCCACCAGCCAACCAGGAAGCAAUAGAGCGAGCGAGAUGGAUACAAAGAGGAGUACACAAGUUUUCAACUUGCCCAGACACUGGCCGCCGCAUACAUCAUCCUUUCCAUUUGCACGGCCAUCGAUUUUCGGUUAACGCCCCUCCACACGGACCUCCAGUAGGACUUUAAUGCGAGAUAUUGGUAUUUAAGGCAACACGAUAUUGAUAUCCAGUCCCUGGUUAAGCGGUCACUGCGGUUUAGGUCGCAACAGCAACGGAUAAGGCCAAGGAGGUGAAGGGGCAUAAAUACAUUUUAAUGACCUCUGGCCUCGACGCGCUUGUUAAUAAACUGAUUAUCGCGCAAGAUAAAGUAUUGGAGAAAGGACAAAUUAAAAUUACCUUUUAAUCCCGAAGUAUCGUGGACUGGAGGAUAGAAAAAGCCGCCGGCUGUUGACGGAAUUGCCUUCAUUGUUGUUUCGUUUUGGUCCUGAAGCUGAAAUGGAAAAGAAAAACGCCAACUAAGAAGGAAAAGAAGAUUCAGUGGAAAACAUAGGAAAAAAAAACUAAGUAGUUCAUUUUGAGAUGGCUGCCUUUUGUUAUAAAUUUUAAGUAUGUAUAUGGCUAAGUAAAAAAGCAAAGCAGCAAAUUGUCGCCAAAACAAAAGACUAAAUAUGCUGCCAGCAGCGGAAAAUGCCUAAAAUGAAAAGGCGACGACAGCAUAAGGAUGAAGGUGUGGGAAGCAGAAGAUGUAAAGAAGAAUGCUGUGUGAAUAUGGGUUUCCGCCCUAAAUCCCAAAUAUCCCCGGAAGCCGAUUAAGUGUUGCCCGUAAGCGCGCGCAACAGCAUGAAAGACGAGAAGCAUCUGCGGGAGAUGGCGAGGAAGGCUGCAAAUUGAGCCCGUCCUGCAUUGAGAAGGAACAGCAUCCUUAACUCCAUUUACCAUCUCUUCCCCCUGCCUAAAAUAAUGGCAAUACAUGCUGUUUUGGCAGUUAUUGGUGGCGAAUGACAAGGGAUUGGGGCGCUAUAGUGAGAGAUUCAAGAGUUUUGAGUAAAGCUUCAACAAACCAUAAUUUCUGUUAAGUGAAAAGUGAUAAAAAUAUUUUAAAAUAGAUUUUGAAUUAAAAUGCUUCUU